CAGCGCCAUUUUAUGCGUGGGAAAGGACCUCCGCUUGUUACCAUGUUGUUACGCAGUUCUAAAUUCAUCAGAAAAGAUGUACCAAGAUGCUUACAAGAUAUUUUCAUGUGCUUCUUGUGUUUGGUGGGAAAUCAAGCAUUAUAGUUGUGUCAAGGUCGGAUCUGCACUCAAGCUUGCAAGAAGAAGAUUGGAAUCAGAAAUUGUUCAGAAUAGGACACUCUGAGAUGUGCGAGGGGAUGAACAGGGAGGCAGCCCGGCAAGGCCUCCCCUGUUAUGGCUGCUGAAAGAGACUCAAGUCCACAAAGUACCAUUUCAAAAGUGAAAUCUUUGCCAUCGUCCUGAAAUACA